rnacentral:rRNA from 1 species
GACGAACGCUGGCGGCGUGCUUAACACAUGCAAGUCGAACGGAAGGGCCCUGCUUUUGUGGGGUGCUCGAGUGGCGAACGGGUGAGUAACACGUGAGUAACCUGCCCUUGACUUUGGGAUAACUUCAGGAAACUGGGGCUAAUACCGGAUAGGAGCUCCUGCUGCAUGGUGGGGGUUGGACAGUUUCGGCGGUUGGGGAUGGACUCGCGGCUUAUCAGCUUGUUGGUGGGGUAGUGGCUUACCAAGGCUUUGACGGGUAGCCGGCCUGAGAGGGUGACCGGCCACAUGGGGACUGAGAGACGGCCCAGACUCCUACGGGAGGCAGCAGUGGGGAAUAUUGCACAAUGGGCGGAAGCCUGAUGCAGCAACGCCGCGUGCGGGAUGACGGCCUGCGGGUUGUAAACCGCUUUCGCCUGUGACGAAGCGUGAGUGACGGUAAUGGGUAAAGAAGCACCGGCUAACUACGUG